GACGAACGCUGGCGGCGUGCUUAACACAUGCAAGUCGAACGGAAAGGCCUUUUCGGAGGUACUCGAGUGGCGAACGGGUGAGUAACACGUGGGUGAUCUGCCCUGCACUCUGGGAUAAGCCUGGGAAACUGGGUCUAAUACCGGAUAGGACCGCACUUUAGUGUGUGUGGGGGAAAGGUUUUUCGGUGUAGGAUGAGCCCGCGGCCUAUCAGCUUGUUGGUGGGGUAAGGGCCUACCAAGGCGGCGACGGGUAGCCGGACUGAGAGGUUGGUCGGCCACAUUGGGACUGAGAUACGGCCCAGACUCCUACGGGAGGCAGCAGUGGGGAAUAUUGCACAAUGGGCGCAAGCCUGAUGCAGCGACGCCGCGUGGGGGAUGACGGCCUUCGGGUUGUAAACUCCUUUCGCCAGGGACGAAGCGUUUUGUGACGGUACCUGGAGAAGAAGCACCGGCUAACUACGUG
rnacentral:rRNA from 1 species